GUCGAACGGAAGUACCUUCGGGUACUUUAGUGGCGAACGGGUGAGUAAUACAUAGGUAACCUACCCUUAAGACGAGGAUAGCCAUUGGAAACGAUGGAUAAAACUGGAUAGGAUAUAGAGGAAGAAUCUUUUAUAUUUAAAAGAGAGAUCUGCUUAAGGAGGGGCCUGUGGCGCAUUAGCUAGUUGGUGGGGUAAGGGCCUACCAAGGCGAUGAUGCGUAGCCGGACUGAGAGGUUGAACGGCCACAAUGGAACUGAGAACGGUCCAUACUCCUACGGGAGGCAGCAGUAGGGAAUUUUCGGCAAUGGGGGGAACCCUGACCGAGCAACGCCGCGUGAACGAAGAAGUUAUUCGUAAUGUAAAGUUCUUUUAUCAGGGAAGAAAGAGGAAUUUGACGGUACCUGAGGAAUAAGCUCCGGCUAACUACGUGCCAGCAGCCGCGGUAAUACGUAGGGAGCGAGCGUUAUCCGGAAUUAUUGGGCGUAAAGGGUGCGUAGAUGGCAUAGUAAGUCUUUUGUAAAAAUGCUGGGCUCAACCCAGUAGGGCAAAAGAUACUGCAAAGCUAGAGUAUGACAGAGGCAAGUGGAACUACAUGUGUAGCGGUAAAAUGCGUAAAUAUAUGUAAGAACACCAGUGGCGAAGGCGGCUUGCUGGGUCGAUACUGACAUUGAGGCACGAAAGCGUGGGGAGCAAACAGGAUUAGAUACCCUGGUAGUCCACGCCCUAAACGAUGAGUACUAAGUGUUGGUGAGAAUCAGUGCUGAAGUUAACGCAUUAAGUACUCCGCCUGAGUAGUACGUACGCAAGUAUGAAACUUAAGGGAA
rnacentral:rRNA from 1 species